rnacentral:rRNA from 1 species
AUACGGAGGAUGCGAGCGCUAUCCGGAUUUAUUGGGUUUAAAGGGUGCGUAGGCUGUGCUGUAAGUCAGGGGUGAAAUGCCGGUGCUCAACGCCGGAGCUGCCCUUGAUACUGCAGUGCUGGAGUACGGAUGCCGUUGGAGGAAUGAGUGGUGUAGCGGUGAAAUGCAUAGAUAUCACUCAGAACACCGAUUGCGAAGGCAUCUGACGAAUCCGUCACUGACGCUGAGGCACGAAAGCGUGGGGAUAGAACAGGAUUAGAUACCCUGGUAUUCCACGCCGUAAACGAUGAUGACUAACCGCCUGCGAUACAGUGUAGGUGGCCAAGCGAAAGCGAUAAGUCAUCCACCUGGGGAGUACGACCGCAAGGUUGAAACUCAAAUGAAUUGACGGGG